AUGCUGCGCCUACUGUCGGUCGGUGAGAGGCUGUUGACAACCGGAACAAAUAGGCGGACAGCCCGUUUGUCCCAGUCGAGUCACGCCAGUGGUUACUACGCAACAGUGAGGGACAAUGGCUUGUCAACAAGGCGAAAUAUCCCACCCGUCUUCUCUAGAAUGUUCUCACAUUACAAGGACAUUGUCAGAAAGAAAGUUGAGGAUCACAACUAUAGAAAAAGGUUUUCCAGAGGCUAUGGUUCCCUCUCUGGGGCAGUGUCAAAUUCAUCCGCAAGACAGCAAGGCCAAUUGACGUUGAAGCGGCCCAGUCAUAUGUACUCGUAUAGUGGUCCCCGAUUCCCGUUGCUGAGCCGAGCAGCCUGUGCGCUAACUCUGUCCUUAACGAGAUCACAUAUCAUCCCUGGGGUCGUGGCUUUAGCUUUUGGGAAGAUGGCAUUGUCGCAGCCUGUCCUGGCAGAUUCACGGCCAUACAUGCCCAAAAUGGAAGGCAUUGUCACGAGGACACGAGAUACUGGCGAGUUGCUGUCAGCCAUGGCUAGGUCAGUCUGGGAGGGUAUCACUUUGUUUAUAAGAGCAGUUCAUUUGGCAUUCCUGUUCUUCCCUGCAACUGCAUUAGCUCCAUUUGCUGAUAGUUUAAGUAUAGAAUUUAGAAGAAGGUGGCUUUCUCUUGUACGUCGUACGCUUGAAAAGGCGGGGCCAGCAUUCAUUAAGUGGGGUCAAUGGGCUGCAACUCGCCCUGAUCUUUUUCCAAGUGAUCUCUGUGUUGAGCUUGCAAAGCUUCACAGCGGAGCUCCGGUGCAUGGCUUUGCUUACAGCAAAGCUUCUAUUGAGAAGGCAUUUGGCCGUAAGCUAUCUGAAAUAUUUGAAACUUUUGAAGAGAAUCCUGUAGCUUCUGGAAGCAUUGCACAAAUACAUCGGGCCACAUUAAAAGAUCGUCCUGACUCGAACUCGACCAGAAAAAAGAAAAGAGAUCAACAUCCUGUAAAGCAUGUUGCAGUUAAGGUGAGGCAUCCUGGUGUGGGGGAAUCAAUCAAGAAGGACUUCUUACUCAUCAAUUUUAUGGCAAAAGUUUCGAACGCUGUCCCUGGAUUGAGCUGGCUAAGGCUGGAUGAGAGCGUCCGCCAGUUUGCAGUUUUCAUGAUGUCUCAAGUUGACCUUUCUAGGGAAGCUUCUAAUUUGCAUCGUUUCAGACACAACUUCCGUAGAUGGAGACAUGUUUCAUUCCCAGAACCAUUGUACCCACUUGUCCAUCCAGCUGUCCUUAUCGAGUCAUUUGAGAAUGGAGAAAGUGUUGCUCGUUUUGUGGAUGAAACUGAAGGAAAUUCUCGGAUGAAGAAGGACCUUGCCCACAUUGGGACAUAUGCAUUUUUGAAGAUGCUUCUGGAGGACAAUUUUAUUCACGCGGAUAUGCACCCGGGAAACAUUCUUGUCCGUCUAAACGAGACCAAGAAUAAGAGGAAAACGUUUUUCAGAUCUAAGCCCCAUAUUGUUUUUCUUGAUGUUGGCAUGACUGCUGAGCUCUCAGUAGCUGACCGUGAUAACUUAAAACAAUUCUUCAAGGCGGUUGCUAUCAGAGAUGGUCGUACGGCUGCUAAGUGUACGUUACGAUUAUCAGAUAACCAGAGCUGUCCAAAUCCAGCAGCCUUUACUGAGGAAUUGGAUAAGACAUUUACAUUCUGGGGAACACCGGAGGGAGACGUAUUUCAUCCUGUCGAAUGCAUGCAUCAAUUGCUCGACACAGUUCGUCGCCACAAAGUCAACAUUGAUGGCAACAUCUGUACUGUAAUGGUGACCAUUUUGGUUCUUGAGGGGUGGCAACGCAAGCUAGACCCACGCUUUGAUAUCAUGGAAACAUUGAAGACUCUACUAAUAGAGAAGGAAGUUAAACAACCACCACCAGAUUAUUUUGGAUAA
rnacentral:rRNA from 1 species